GUACCUACGGGGGGCUGCAGUGGGGAAUCUUGCGCAAUGGGCGAAAGCCUGACGCAGCGACGCCGCGUGCGGGAAGAAGGCCUUCGGGUUGUAAACCGCUUUCAGGAGGGACGAAGCUACUCGGGUGAAUAGCCCAGAGGGUGACGGUACCUCCAGAAGAAGCCCCGGCUAACUACGUGCCAGCAGCCGCGGUAAUACGUAGGGGGCAAGCGUUGUCCGGAUUCAUUGGGCGUAAAGCGCGUGUAGGCGGCUUGGCAAGUCCGCUGUGAAAACUCGAGGCUCAACCUCGAGAUGUCGGUGGAAACUGCCUCGCUAGAGUCCGGAAGAGGAGAGCGGAAUUCCUGGUGUAGCGGUGAAAUGCGCAGAUAUCAGGAAGAACACCCGUGGCUAAGGCGGCUCUCUAGUACGGUACUGACGCUGAGACGCGAAAGCGUGGGGAGCGAACAGGAUUAGAUACCCCGGUAGUC
rnacentral:rRNA from 1 species